rnacentral:misc_RNA from 1 species
GCUCUCUCCUCUCGGUUGUGUAGGCUGUAGCUCGCUGAUGGAGCUCUCUCCUCCACCAAAUCUCUUAAUUCCUAGGAUUAGAAGUCCACAACACGUAGUAAGAUUGUGGGAUCUGAAUCUGAAUCAGAGUCCAAGGAGGUGGAGGCGGAGGCGGAGACAGAGAUGGAUGGAAGUUCCAAGAGCAACGAGUGCACUGGAACAUGCCGGGGGGAAGAUGGUGGUGGAGCUGGUGGGAGUGUUCAACCAGCUGACGGAGAGGAUGAAUGUGUUGUCAACGAGUUCUUCGCGGAUACUCUUCAAGGCUCUGAAGCUGUGCAUUCCAAUACUGCAGAACUUACCUCUCGCCCCUGAUGGCCGGCCUCCUCUCUCCAAGGCUUUGUCUGUGGCUCUUGUUCUAGCCGAUCUUCAGAUGGAUGCAGAAGUUAUUUCGGCCAGUAUAUUGACACAAGUUUUUGAGGCCGGUGCAAUAACCAUACAUGAAGUCAGAUAUCGCAUAGGUACUGGUACUGCUCAUCUACUGCACGAAAGUUUGCGUGUGAAGAACAUUCCCUCAAGAAUUGAAGUUUUGGAUGAUGAUGGCGCUGCUGCUUUAAGGAAGUUUUGCCUUACCUACUAUGAUAUUCGAGCUGUGAUUCUGGACUUAGCUCUCAAGCUUGAUAUGAUGAGGCAUUUAGAUUAUCUGCCUAGAUAUCAGCAACAAAUGCUGUCUCUUCAAGUUAUGAAGAUACAUGCCCCCUUGGCUCAUGUUGUUGGAACUAACUACUUGUCAUUGGAGCUGGAGGAUCUCUCAUUUCGCUACCUUUUCCCAUAUUCAUACCUCUAUGUGGAUACAUGGUUACGCAGCCAUCAGACAGAAAGUAAGCCUCUAAUUGAUAUAUACAUUGAAGAGCUGAAUCAAUCCCUAAAAGCUGAUCCUAUCUUAGCAGACAUGGUGGAGGACAUCUCCAUUAAAGGUCGCUCUAAAAGUCGGUUCAGCACAAUGAAGAAGCUCUUGAAAGAUGGUCGCAAGCCAGAGGAAGUAAAUGAUGUUCUAGGUUUACGAGUCAUACUCAAUCCCAGGUCUACAGAAAAUGUGUCAGAAUUAGGUGAAAAGGCAUGCUACAGGACACGUGAAAUUAUCCGAUCUUUGUGGAAAGAAAUGCCACACAGAACAAAAGACUAUAUUGCCAGGCCCAAAGCCAAUGGAUAUAGGAGCUUGCAUAUGGCAGUUGAUGUGAGUGACAAUGGCAAGUCUAGACCACUGAUGGAAAUUCAAAUAAGGACUAUGGAGAUGGACCUGCUGGCAGUUGAUGGAACAGCAUCACAUUCAUUAUACAAGGGUGGUCUUACUGAUCCAGAAGAGGCAAAGCGGCUCAAGGCUAUAAUGAUGGCAGCUGCUGAACUUGCAGCAUUGCGUCUUAGGGAUCUUCCAUCCGCUAAAGGUAUUGAGAUUGACCAGAGAGAUAGAGUAUUUCGUCUUUUGGACAAGAAUGGUGAUGGCCAGAUCAGCAUUGAGGAACUUAUGGAAGUGAUGGAAGAGCUUGGUGCCCCAGGGGAAGAUGCAAGGGAGAUGAUGCAGCUCCUUGAUGCAAAUAGUGAUGGUUCUCUGAGCUCUGACGAAUUUGAUACAUUUCAGAAACAGGUUGAAUUCAUGCGGGUUUUAGAGGACAGAGAUGAUGAAUGCAAGACCAUGCUGAAUAAGAAACUUAAAAUGGCAGAAGAUAGUGGCUUGAUUAAGGUAUGUGGCGAAGAGCUUGGCAACAGGCUUGCAAACUAGGAGCUGUUAAAUGCAGUACGUAAUGCCCUCUCACUUAAUUUUUCUUUAAAAAAGGGUAUAGGUUGCAACUGUAUUCCCAAAUAGGCUAAAGAGCCAUAACAUGAAAUAAAUUUCCAAGGAAAUUAGAAGAGUUUAUUCCCAAAUGGGAAAUUCUUGUAUAGAGUCGUCCAUCAUGGACUUAAAACAGACAUGUGUGGGGAAAUUUACUUGUAAAAUAAAUGAAAUUCGAAAUUCACGGUGUUUGUGUUCAUGAUGGAGGUAAGCAUAACUUGAAAUGAAUUCUCAAGGAAAUUGAAAGAAUGCAAGUAAUUAUUUAUUAGAGUUGGGAAUCCAGGCAGACAAACGAGAGAUGCAUGGAAUGGAGCUAAUAGAAGUUCCUUUCCUUGCUACUGAUCAUCCUCUAAAAGCAAGAAUCUGGAUGGAGAAUUGUUUGCCUUCUCCAUCUCAUCAACCCUAACAAGCACAUUCUUCUUAAGUUCUUCCAAGGAAGCCGCAUACUGCUCCAGCUCCUCCGAGUCCAUGCUCUCUACAGGAUCAUCCCACCAGAACGUGUCUCUUCCGGAGGCGGCUUCCUUCUCAUGAUCCUUGCUUAUGCUGUCUAACAGUUUCUUCUGAUGCUCCAACUUGGCAAGUGCCUCCAUGUAUUGCUUCCUGCUCUUCUCCACUUGGUCUGCGUUUACGUUCCCAUUGUUGUUAGAGUCAGAGAGACAGCGAUCUAUUACGUUGUCAACGGAGGGGUGACCAAAGGCAAAUGGUUUGCCGGCUGGGUAGAAGCCGACGACUGCCACCUCAGCUCCGCAAAGUACACAAAGCUCACCAGCCUUAUUGAGAAGACCUUGGCGCCGCUUUGCAAAAGUUACAUCUAGGGAUUGUUUUUUGGUUAUUUUCUUCAUCUCAAUCUUCCGGCGUCGUCCUUCAUUUGCCAUGGCCUUUUGCUUUAGUGGUUUUUUUCCUUCUUCUUAUGUAUAUAAAAAUAUAUAGAUAGAUAUUAUGGAAUAUCUCUCUAUUCAUAAAUUACUAUGAUUCCAAAUAUGGCAAUUUAAAUCCUUCUCAAAAGCACGAAAAAAAAA